rnacentral:rRNA from 1 species
AUUGAACGCUGGCGGCAGGCCUAACACAUGCAAGUCGAACGAGUGGCGGACGGGUGAGUAAUGUCUGGGAAACUGCCUGAUGGAGGGGGAUAACUACUGGAAACGGUAGCUAAUACCGCAUACCAUCAGAUGUGCCCAGAUGGGAUUAGCUAGUGGGUGGGGUAACGGCUCACCAAGGCGACGAUCCCUAGCUGGUCUGAGAGGAUGACCAGCCACACUGGAACUGAGACACGGUCCAGACUCCUACGGGAGGCAGCAGUAGGGAAUAUUGCGCAAUGGGCGCAAGCCUGAUGCAGCAAUGCCGCGUGUAUGAAGAAGGCCUUCGGGUUGUAAAGUACUUUCAGCAGGGAAGCGGUACCCGAAGAGAAAGCCCCGGCUAACUCCGUGCCAGCAGCCGCGGUAAUUC